rnacentral:rRNA from 1 species
UNCGAUUGCGAAGGCAGCUUGCUGGACUGUAACUGACGCUGAGGCACGAAAGCGUGGGGAUCAAACNGGAUUAGAUACCCUGGUANNCCACGCCGUAAACGAUGAAUGCUAGCUGUUAGCGAUAUACUGUUAGCGGCACAGAGAAAUCGUUAAGCAUUCCACCUGGGGAGUACGCCGGCAACGGUGAAACUCAAAGGAAUUGACGGGGGCCCGCACAAGCGGAGGAACAUGUGGUUUAAUUCGAUGAUACGCGAGGAACCUUACCUGGGCUUAAAUUGCAGUGGAAUAACGUGGAAACAUGUUAGCCUUCGGGCCGCUGUGAAGGUGCUGCAUGGUUGUCGUCAGCUCGUGCCGUGAGGUGUCGGCUUAAGUGCCAUAACGAGCGCAACCCUCAUCGAUAGUUACUAACAGGUUAAGCUGAGGACUCUAUCGAGACUGCCGACGUAAGUCGUGAGGAAGGUGGGGAUGACGUCAAAUCAGCACGGCCCUUACGUCCAGGGCUACACACGUGUUACAAUGGGGGGUACAAAGGGCAGCUACCUGGCGACAGGAUGCUAAUCUCAAAAACCUCUCUCAGUUCGGAUUGGAGUCUGCAACCCGACUCCAUGAAGCUGGACUCGCUAGUAAUCGCGCAUCAGCCACGGCGCGGUGAAUACGUUCCCGGGCCUUGUACACACCGCCCGUCAAGCCAUGGGAGCCGGGGGGACCUGAAGUAUGCAACCGUAAGGAGCGUCCUAGGGUAAAACUGGUGACUGGGGCU